rnacentral:rRNA from 1 species
CCUACGGGAGGCAGCAGUGGGGAAUAUUGCACAAUGGGGGAAACCCUGAUGCAGCGAUGCCGCGUGAACGAAGAAGGCUUUCGAGUCGUAAAGUUCUGUUCUUAGGGAAGAAAAUGACGGUACCUAAGGAGAAAGCACCGGCUAAAUACGUGCCAGCAGCCGCGGUAAUACGUAUGGUGCAAGCGUUGUCCGGAAUUACUGGGCGUAAAGAGUUCGUAGGCGGUCAAAUAAGUCAGGAGUGAAAGGCUACGGCUCAACCGUAGUGAGCUUUUGAAACUGUUUGACUUGAGUACUGGAGAGGAAAGUGGAAUUCCUAGUGUAGCGGUGAAAUGCGUAGAUAUUAGGAGGAACACCAGUGGCGAAGGCGGCUUUCUGGACAGUAACUGACGCUGAGGAACGAAAGCGUGGGGAGCAAACAGGAUUAGAUACCCGAGUAGUC